rnacentral:tRNA from 1 species
UGCCCCUCUGGCGGAACUGGUAGACGCGCGGGAUUCAAAAUCCCGUUCCUUCGGGAGUGCCGGUUCGAUUCCGGCGGGGGGCACCAU